rnacentral:rRNA from 1 species
GGUUAAGCGACUAAGCGUACACGGUGGAUGCCCUGGCAGUCAGAGGCGAUGAAGGACGUGCUAAUCUGCGAUAAGCGCCGGUAAGGUGAUAUGAACCGUUAUAACCGGCGAUUUCCGAAUGGGGAAACCCAGUGUGAUUCGUCACACUAUCAUUAACUGAAUCCAUAGGUUAAUGAGGCGAACCGGGGGAACUGAAACAUCUAAGUACCCCGAGGAAAAGAAAUCAACCGAGAUUCCCCCAGUAGCGGCGAGCGAACGGGGAGGAGCCCAGAGCCUGAAUCAGCAUGUGUGUUAGUGGAAGCGUCUGGAAAGGCGCGCGAUACAGGGUGACAGCCCCGUACACAAAAGCGCAUGUGCUGUGAGCUCGAUGAGUAGGGCGGGACACGUGGUAUCCUGUCUGAAUAUGGGGGGACCAUCCUCCAAGGCUAAAUACUCCUGACUGACCGAUAGUGAACCAGUACCGUGAGGGAAAGGCGAAAAGAACCCCGGCGAGGGGAGUGAAAAAGAACCUGAAACCGUGUACGUACAAGCAGUGGGAGCACAGGUUUACCUGUGUGACUGCGUACCUUUUGUAUAAUGGGUCAGCGACUUAUAUUCUGUAGCAAGGUUAACCGAAUAGGGGAGCCGGAGGGAAACCGAGUCUUAAUUGGGCGUUAAGUUGCAGGGUAUAGACCCGAAACCCGGUGAUCUAGCCAUGGGCAGGUUGAAGGUUGGGUAACACUAACUGGAGGACCGAACCGACUAAUGUUGAAAAAUUAGCGGAUGACCUGUGGCUGGGGGUGAAAGGCCAAUCAAACCGGGAGAUAGCUGGUUCUCCCCGAAAGCUAUUUAGGUAGCGCCUCGUGAAUUCAUCUCCGGGGGUAGAGCACUGUUUCGGCUAGGGGGCCAUCCCGGCUUACCAACCCGAUGCAAACUGCGAAUACCGGAGAAUGUUAUCACGGGAGACACACGGCGGGUGCUAACGUCCGUCGUGAAGAGGGAAACAACCCAGACCGCCAGCUAAGGUCCCAAAGUCAUGGUUAAGUGGGAAACGAUGUGGGAAGGCCCAGACAGCCAGGAUGUUGGCUUAGAAGCAGCCAUCAUUUAAAGAAAGCGUAAUAGCUCACUGGUCGAGUCGGCCUGCGCGGAAGAUGUAACGGGGCUAAACCAUGCACCGAAGCUGCGGCAGCGACACUGUGUGUUGUUGGGUAGGGGAGCGUUCUGUAAGCCUGUGAAGGUGGCCUGUGAGGGUUGCUGGAGGUAUCAGAAGUGCGAAUGCUGACAUAAGUAACGAUAAAGCGGGUGAAAAGCCCGCUCGCCGGAAGACCAAGGGUUCCUGUCCAACGUUAAUCGGGGCAGGGUGAGUCGACCCCUAAGGCGAGGCCGAAAGGCGUAGUCGAUGGGAAACGGGUUAAUAUUCCCGUACUUGGUGUUACUGCGAAGGGGGGACGGAGAAGGCUAUGUUGGCCGGGCGACGGUUGUCCCGGUUUAAGCGUGUAGGCUGGUUUUCCAGGCAAAUCCGGAAAAUCAAGGCUGAGGCGUGAUGACGAGGCACUACGGUGCUGAAGCAACAAAUGCCCUGCUUCCAGGAAAAGCCUCUAAGCAUCAGGUAACAUCAAAUCGUACCCCAAACCGACACAGGUGGUCAGGUAGAGAAUACCAAGGCGCUUGAGAGAACUCGGGUGAAGGAACUAGGCAAAAUGGUGCCGUAACUUCGGGAGAAGGCACGCUGACACGUAGGUGAAGUGAUUUACUCAUGGAGCUGAAGUCAGUCGAAGAUACCAGCUGGCUGCAACUGUUUAUUAAAAACACAGCACUGUGCAAACACGAAAGUGGACGUAUACGGUGUGACGCCUGCCCGGUGCCGGAAGGUUAAUUGAUGGGGUCAGCGCAAGCGAAGCUCCUGAUCGAAGCCCCGGUAAACGGCGGCCGUAACUAUAACGGUCCUAAGGUAGCGAAAUUCCUUGUCGGGUAAGUUCCGACCUGCACGAAUGGCGUAAUGAUGGCCAGGCUGUCUCCACCCGAGACUCAGUGAAAUUGAACUCGCUGUGAAGAUGCAGUGUACCCGCGGCAAGACGGAAAGACCCCGUGAACCUUUACUAUAGCUUGACACUGAACAUUGAGCCUUGAUGUGUAGGAUAGGUGGGAGGCUUUGAAGUGUGGACGCCAGUCUGCAUGGAGCCGACCUUGAAAUACCACCCUUUAAUGUUUGAUGUUCUAACGUGGACCCGUAAUCCGGGUUGCGGACAGUGUCUGGUGGGUAGUUUGACUGGGGCGGUCUCCUCCUAAAGAGUAACGGAGGAGCACGAAGGUUGGCUAAUCCUGGUCGGACAUCAGGAGGUUAGUGCAAUGGCAUAAGCCAGCUUGACUGCGAGCGUGACGGCGCGAGCAGGUGCGAAAGCAGGUCAUAGUGAUCCGGUGGUUCUGAAUGGAAGGGCCAUCGCUCAACGGAUAAAAGGUACUCCGGGGAUAACAGGCUGAUACCGCCCAAGAGUUCAUAUCGACGGCGGUGUUUGGCACCUCGAUGUCGGCUCAUCACAUCCUGGGGCUGAAGUAGGUCCCAAGGGUAUGGCUGUUCGCCAUUUAAAGUGGUACGCGAGCUGGGUUUAGAACGUCGUGAGACAGUUCGGUCCCUAUCUGCCGUGGGCGCUGGAGAACUGAGGGGGGCUGCUCCUAGUACGAGAGGACCGGAGUGGACGCAUCACUGGUGUUCGGGUUGUCAUGCCAAUGGCACUGCCCGGUAGCUAAAUGCGGAAGAGAUAAGUGCUGAAAGCAUCUAAGCACGAAACUUGCCCCGAGAUGAGUUCUCCCUGAGACUUAGAGUCUCCUGAAGGAACGUUGAAGACGACGACGUUGAUAGGCCGGGUGUGUAAGCGCAGCGAUGCGUUGAGCUAACCGGUACUAAUGAACCGUGAGGCUUAACCUU